rnacentral:lncRNA from 1 species
AAUAAGAAAAGAUUAGUUUAAACAAUAUUUUAUUCAAAUAAAUUGAAUUGGAUUGGGCAACAGGCAUAGCCUAUGUAAGCCCUCUCCACAAAACAAGGUACAAUAUAUUACAUUCAAACAAAGCAACACAUACACAAACAUAAAGACAAAACAGAAUUAAUUUUUCAAAAAUACCUCUUAGCUGACUGGAAUGAUAUUUCAAAUAGUUAACUCAGAUCAAAAGUAUGACUAUUUUAAAAUGCUUCAAAUGUUAACUCAGAAAAAUUAUGAA